AAGACAGUAUGGAGUUUCCAGACCAUAGUAGACAUUUGCUGCAGUGUCUGAGCGAGCAGAGACACCAGGGUUUUCUUUGUGACUGCACUGUUCUGGUGGGAGAUGCCCAGUUCCGAGCCCACCGAGCUGUACUGGCUUCAUGCAGCAUGCAUUUCCACCUCUUUCACAAGGACCAGCUGGACAAAAGAGACGUUGUUCAUCUGAACAGCGACAUUGUUACAGCCCCGGCUUUCGCUCUCCUGCUUGAAUUCAUGUAUGAAGGGAAACUCCAGUUCAAAGACUUGCCCAUUGAAGACGUGCUAGCAGCUGCCAGUUAUCUCCGCAUGUAUGACAUUGUCAAAGUCUGUAAAAAGAAGCUGAAAGAGAAAGCUACCACUGAGGCAGACAGCACCAAAAAGGAAGAAGAUGCUUCAAGUUGUUCAGACAAAGUUGAGAGCCUCUCUGAUGGCAGCAGCCACAUGGCAGGCGACUUGCCCAGUGAUGAAGAUGAAGGAGAAGAUGAAAAAUUGAACAUCCUGCCCAGCAAAAGGGACUUGGCGGCUGAGCCUGGGAACAUGUGGAUGCGACUGCCCUCAGACUCAGCAGGCAUCCCUCAGGCUGGCUGAGAGGCAGAGCCACACGCCACAGCAGCUGGAAAAACAGUAGCCAGCCCCUGCAGCUCAACAGAGUCUUUGUCCCAGAGGACGUGCUGAGAAGCAACCUGGUGCAGGUGAAGGUGGAGAAAGAGGCUUCCUGUGAUGAGAGUGAUGUUGGCACUAAUGACUAUGACAUGGAACAUAGCACUGUGAAAGAAAGUGUGAGCACUAAUAACAGGGUACAGUAUGGGCCGGCCCAUCUGGCUCCUCUGAAGGAGGACUCGGUCUUGAGGGAACUGGAUCGGGAGGACAAAGCCAGCGAUGAUGAAAUGAUGACCACAGAGAGUGAGCGUGUCCAGGUGGAAGGGGGCAUGGAGAGCAGUCUGCUCCCUUAUGUCUCCAACAUCCUGAGCCCUGCGGGCCAGAUCUUCAUGUGCCCCCUGUGCAACAAAGUCUUCCCCAGCCCCCACAUUCUGCAGAUCCACCUGAGCACUCACUUUCCUGAGCAGGAUGGCAUCCGCAGCAAGCCCGCCGCCAAUGUCAAUGUGCCCACGUGCUCUCUGGGAAGACUUUCUCGUGCAUGUACACCCUCAAGCGCCACGAGAGGACUCACUCGGGGGAGAAGCCCUACACAUGCACCCAGUGCGGCAACAGCUUCCAGUACUCGCACAACCUGAGCCGCCAUGCUGUGGUGCACACCUGCGAGAAGCCGCAUGCCUGCAAGUGGUAUGAGCGCAGGUUCACGCAGUCUGGAGACCUGUACAGACACAUUCGCAAGUUCCACUGUGAGUUGGUGAACUCCUUGUCGGUCAAAAGCGAAGCACUGAGCUUGCCUACUGUCAGAGACUGGACCUUAGAAGAUAGCUCUCAAGAACUUUGGAAAUAAUUUUAUAUAUAUAUAUAUAUAAAUAAUAUAUAUAUAUACAUAUAUAUACAUAGAUCUCUAUAUAGUUGUGGUACGGUCUAAAAGCAGUCUUGUUUCCUGGAACUAAAAAGUUGGGAUCUUAACUUGUUUUUGCACUUUAGAAUAAUAGCAUGAGAAUCUCACUAAUUUAGCAUUCUGAUAAAAGAAACUUUUUAGAGCAAGUCUGAGAAUAGAGAGGUGUCUUUCCUUUGAGGGGUAGGCAAAGUAAGCCAAUAAGAAACUUCUAAACAAAUCGUCCUAUCACAAAAAUGCUUUCAUACGGCUUAAUUUUGUCAACACAGUGUUGUCUUUUGAGCUCUCUUUGUGCCCCACAUUUGUUUUGUUUUGUUUUGUUUUUGUUUUUUAAAGUAAAAAGAAAUUCCCUCCAGUUUUAUUAGCCUCUAUGUCUCAAAUUGUAUGAAUCUUUUCUGGCUGUUGGAAACCUGAAUGCUUUUAGACCCAAAUGGAAAAUUUCUGAAAUGCUGGAUUAUCUAUUUUUAAACAAGCAGUUGACUUAAAACUUUCUGUGGCAACUUCUGGUUUUCUGACGGUUCCCAAUGAGAGAAAUUCUGCAAGUACACUGGGAUCACUGGGAUACUGUCUUUGUGAAGGUUUGCUUGGGAUGAAAAAGGAUAUUGCAGCUUCAGCAGUGUUGAACUGUGUGUUUAAAAAUGUGAAUUACUGUUCUUGUAUACUGUAAUUGAUUACAUGGGCUGGGGGGGGGAUGUCAAAGAACUUGACAGGUUGUGUUGAUGCUCUUAGUUGAGUCUUGAAAAGUAAAUAUUAACGCUACAGAAAUGCAUGAGUUCAAUAUAUUUUUUGUCUUUGUUUGCAUUGUAUAACUUUAACGAGUGAGUUUAAAAUUAUUUAAUUUCCUUAGAAAAAUAGCACCAUUUGGAAAAAAAAACUGGUGUUAUGAAGAACAUAAAUGCACUGGUUUUUUUUUUUAUUUUAUAUAAUUUAAAUUGACUUUCCCACUGUCUUUAAGUUGAACUGUUAAGCUGAAUAAAAACUUAAGCUGCAAAUUGAUAACUUUGCUACAUAACAAGGAACAUAUAAAUGUUUACAAA